rnacentral:rRNA from 1 species
UACGUAGGUCCCGAGCGUUGUCCGGAUUCACUGGGUGUAAAGGGCGCGUAGGCGGUCAAGUGUGUCUCAUGUGAAAGCUCAGGGCUCAACUCUGAGAGUGCGUGGGAGACUACUUGGCUGGAGGACGGUAGAGGGAAGUGGAAUUCCCGGUGUAGCGGUAAAAUGCGUAGAUAUCGGGAGGAACACCAGUGGCGAAGGCGGCUUCCUGGGCCGAUCCUGACGCUGAGGCGCGAAAGCCAGGGGAGCGAACCGG